GUUGUAUGGUUAAGUGACUAAGCGUACACGGUGGAUGCCUUGGCAGUCAGAGGCGAUGAAAGGCGUAAUAACUUGCGAUAAGCCCAGAUUAGGUAGUAAUAACCUUUUGAGUCUGGGAUUCCUGAAUGGGGAAACCCACUUGCAUAAGCAAGUAUCCUGUUGUGAAUACAUAGCAACAGGAGGCAAACCGGGGGAACUGAAACAUCUAAGUACCCCGAGGAAGAGAAAUCAAC
rnacentral:rRNA from 1 species